GUUACAGCGUAAGAGACUGUUAAGGUUGGAGUGGUUAGUUAUAUUGGGUCCCCCACACUUGCAAUCUGUCCUAUCACUUUAAGGAAAUAGCCAGAGUGGCCCUGCUGGACUGCGGGGGCCAGCAGGGCCUGGUUGCCAAUCCAGGAGGCCAGCCAGACUUAAAGGCACAGUUUUUUGUUUUUGUUUUUUUCCCAAACCUGCUCUCUCUCUCUCUCUCUCUCUCGGCUGCAUCUCUGGGCCAAGAAACCAGGCAGGGCCAGCCACUUGGUCAUGAACUGCGAUCACUGGGCUUGCAUGGGACUGGGGAGCACAACAACCUGGCAACCUCAGUGUUCUAUAAUAACGACCAGGAGGAACAGGCUGAAAGGAACAGGAGAGACCGGGGAAAAGCCGCAGCCCUAGUCCUGGCCCUCAGUUAAGGUGGUGGGAAUUGACACAUGGAUUCUUCACACUCGGCUGAAGCUUUGGACGCCUCCUGAAGAAAGUCAUAAACCCUCCGCUCCACCACCUGAAGUUCCAAGAGACGACUCUCUGUACACCUGCGAGCCGUUCGAGGAUCUGCAUCUCCUCUUACAACAAUAUCCCCAGGAAAGUAACGGCUCAUGCGUCUAAUUUACAUCCUCGCAUUAACAGGACUGUAACUCUUAACUUUGCUAUCACUCAAACUGCAAUUAUUCCUUUCAUGGAGUAGAGGGAGGGGUCAAAAACAUAGAAAAACUUGGUGCUGGCAUUAGAAAAGUUACUACCUCUAUUCAGUUACUAUAAGCUGUCUCAGGAAUUAAUAACAUAAAAGUGUUGCUAAUGUUCUCUGCAAAGGCAGCUCACUCUGCAAAACAGCUUCACUCUUUGGCUGCCUUAGCUCUUCAGGGUAAAAGGACCCUAAAUCUACUAACAACAGGAAGAGAGGAAAUCUGCCUCUUUCUAGAAAGAAAUGCUGCUACUUUGCAAAAAGUGCUGUUUUAAACAAAGUUAAAGAACUCGGGAAUCAAUCAAACACAGAGCUAAAAACCUUCAAGAAAUAGUGCUUAUUUAACAACUGGCUGUCCUGACUAUAUCCUCUCCUAGGUCGGUCUAUAGCCAUUCUAUAAUUAUUGCCUCUGGGCUUUUUAUCUUUAACCUUCUUGUCACAUUCCUUUCUUCUAGAGCCAUAAGGUCAUAAAUAAUCCUACAAUUGGAACCCUGGAUGUCUUGACUCAUGAGCUCUAUCAUGGACAUCAGGAUCAACGUCCGCCCUGGAAAGACUUCCCUCUGGAGGAAACCUCAACUGCAGGGCCCCUUCCAUGCCCCAUUUCAGCAGGAAGCAGCUAAAGAGCAACCGAUGCCCGUGUCCAAACAGCAGUUGGACUUUCCUGUUUAAAGUGGGGGACUGAGGGAAUGUAUUCUCUUCCUGGGUGCCCAAGGGGGCAUAGUUUCAAAGGCAAGAACUUCCUAGUCCUGUACUCCCCCACCGCAUGUCUCCAUCUGGGAUCUUAGAGGUCUUUGUUUAACUUUCACCUGUGUAGGAAAGACUCAAAGGUCAACCAUUCCAGCAGAAGUUUAAAAAAACUCCUACCAUAGGACAGAAAAUUUGAAUGGGGCAGGAAGCUCUCCCAGGUUAAAAGUUCCCUUCUUCCACUACUUUGUGAAAGCUGCUUUUCUUUCUUUGUUUACUCUUUCUCUGCCUAAAUAAAUCACUUUCUGC
rnacentral:lncRNA from 13 species